ensembl:processed_transcript transcriptional regulating factor 1
GGAGCUUAGGAACGGUUGCUAGGGCACACCCCCUUCCCUCUAAGCGAUGGCUGAGAGGCGGUGCAUGCAGAUGGGGACUCGGCUCGCCCCCCAGCUCACCCCCCCGAGUGGAGAUUGGUCGUCUUGUCGGAUUGCCCAGGCACUUGUUGCCGAAACAGCCAAGGCUCCAGCUCCAGAGGGCAGUGAAGGAGGAAGGCACGGGAGCAAGACUGUCCUGAAGGGGUCACCAGCGGUCUCAGUCCUGGAACAGACCCGGGUCUCUUCUUCCCACCUGCCGAGCAGCAUGUGAGCAGCAUGACUGGCCAGCUGCAGGAGAAGCCCCCAGAGCCAGGACCGCGACACAGCCACCCGCUGCCAAGGUCAAGGUGUGAAGGACUUUCCCCCAGCACGGUGGUGUCUGGUCCAUACCUCUGCCCGCGUGAGGAUGUAGGCACCCCGGCUCUGCUGAUGACCGGUUCAAGCCAACAGGGACCCCUGUCUCCAGCCACCCUCACAGACAUGUCAGCUGUGGAGUAGGGUGGACGCUUUCUCUCAUCUUCUCAGGGUUUCAGGAUUUUUUUUUUUUUUUUUUUUUUUUUUUUUUUUUUUUGGUUUUGGUUUUGGUUUUUGGUUUGUGGCUGAACACUCACUCGUAAGCAAGGAGGACAUCAUGGGGGACCAGCAACUGUACAAGACCAAUCACGUGGCCCACGGUGGUGAGAACCUCUUCUAUCAACAGCCACCCCUUGGUGUCCACAGUGGGCUGGGCCACAGCUAUGGGAAUACAAUUUCCGGGGCUGGGAUGGACGCCCCACAGGCCUCACCCAUCUCGCCUCACUUCCCUCAAGAUACUCGGGAUGGUCUCGGCUUGCCUAUUGGCUCCAAAAACCUUGGUCAGAUGGAUACCUCCAGGCAGGGAGGAUGGGGAAGCCAUGCAGGGCCUGGGAACCAUGUCCAGCUUCGUAGCAACUUGGCCAACUCAAACAUGAUGUGGGGGGCGCCUGCCCAGGUGGAGCCUGCUGAUGGCUACCAAUACACUUACUCCCAGGCCAGCGAGAUCCGGACCCAGAAACUCACCAGUGGUGUUUUGCACAAGCUGGACUCUUUCACCCAGGUAUUUGCCAACCAAAACCUGCGGAUUCAGGUCAACAAUAUGGCCCAGGUGCUGCACACCCAAUCAGCGGUGAUGGAUGGAACCCCCGACAGUGCCCUCCGUCAACUGCUGUCGCAGAAGCCUGUGGAGCCCUCAGCAUCAGCUAUAGCUUCUCGCUACCAGCAGGUGCCCCAGCAGCCUCAUCCUGGCUUCACAGGUGGAUUGCCCAAACCAGCCCUUCCAGUCGGGCAGCACACACCCCAAGGGCACCUGUAUUAUGACUACCAGCAGCCCCUGGCCCAGAUGUCCAUGCAAGGAGGACAACCACUGCAAGCCCCUCAGGUGCUGUCCGGCCAUAUGCAACAAUUGCAGCAGCACCAGUAUUACCCACAGCCGCCGCCUCAGCAGCAGCAAGCCGGACUGCAGCGGAUCUCCAUGCAGGAGAUGCAGCAGCAGCAGCCGCCGCAGCAGAUUCGCCCCUCACCACCUCAGCAGCAGCCGCAGCAGCUCCAGCUGCAGCAACGGCAGAGUUCACUGCAGAUACCUCAGUAUUAUCAGCCCCAACCCAUGAUGCAACACUUGCAAGAGCAGCAGCAGCCAUCCAUGCACCUGCAGCCCCCCUCGUACCACAGGGACCCUCAUCAGUAUACCCCGGAGCAGGCACAUGCUGUCCAGCUGAUCCAGCUGGGCUCCAUGCCCCAGUAUUACUAUCAGGAGCCUCAACAGCCCUAUAGCCACCCCCUCUACCAGCAGAGCCACCUGUCCCAGCACCAGCAGCGUGAAGACAGUCAGCUGAAGACGUAUUCUAGUGACAGACAGACCCCGGCUAUGCUGAGCUCCCAUGGGGACAUGGGGCCUUCUGAUACAGGAGUGGCAGACCCAGCCAGCUCAGAAAUGACUCGGGUCACUAGUACCCUUCCUCACCAACCGCUCCUGUCCCCCAGUGGGAUCCACCUCAACAACAUGGGGUCUCAGCAUCAGCAGCCAUCUCCCAGUGCGAUGUGGCCCCAGAUCCACUUACCUGAUGGGAGAGCCCAGCCUGGAUCCCCGGAAUCAAGCAGCGGCCAAACCAAAGGAGUGUUUGGGGACCAGUUUGAUGCCAAGAACAAGCUGACAUGCUCCAUCUGCCUGAAGGAGUUCAAAAGCCUGCCCGCCCUGAACGGCCACAUGCGAUCCCAUGGGGGAAUGAGGGCGUCCCCCAGCCUCAAACAGGAGGAAGGAGAGAAGGCCCCACCGCCUCAGCCUCAGCCUCAGCCUCAGCCCCAGCCCCAGCCCCAGCCUCAGCCUCAGCCUCAGCCGCCACUGCCGCCUCCGCCGCCGCCACCGCAGCUCCCUCCUGAGGCGGAGCGCCUCACGCCUAUGGUCAUGCCCGUGUCUGUCCCUGUCAAGCUUCUCCCACCCAAGCCCAGCUCUCAGGGGUUCACCAACAGCGUCGCUGCCACCCCCUCGGCCAGAGACAAGCCAGCCAGCUCGAUGUCGGACGAUGAGAUGCCCGUACUUGUGAGGAUGACCCUGUCCCCCCCUCACUCUCCCCAAGGGGCUGCCCCCCGUGCGCCUGCUGAAAUCCCCCGGAAACAUCCACCCAUCGCCGCCAAAGUUGAGGAGCCCCUCAAGACCCUACCAGAGAAGAAGAAGUUCCGGCACCGGCCUGAGCCCCUCUUCAUCCCACCACCGCCUUCUUCCUAUACUCCCAACCCCACCUCUUACUCGGGGGCCACCCUGUACCAGAGCCAGCUGCGCUCCCCACGAAUCCUCGGGGACCACCUGCUCCUGGACCCCGCCCACGAACUGCCCCCCUACACUCCGCCACCCAUGCUGAGCCCCGUGCGCCAGGGCUCAGGGCUCUUCAGCAAUGUCCUCAUCUCUGGCCACGGCCCUGGAGUGCACCCCCAGCUGCCCCUCACUCCCCUCACGCCCACGCCACGCGUGCUGCUGUGCCGUUCCAGCAGCAUCGAUGGCAGCAAUGUGACAGUCACCCCAGGACCUGGAGAGCAGACGGUGGAUGUUGAACCACGCAUCAACAUUGGCUUAAGAUUCCAAGCAGAGAUCCCAGAACUGCAAGACGUCUCGGCCCUGGCUCAGGACACACACAAGGCCACACUGGUUUGGAAGCCGUGGCCUGAGCUGGAAAACCAGGCCCUCCAGCAGCAAGUGGAGAAUCUUCUGAAUUUGUGUUGUUCCAGUGCGCUGCCAGGCGGAGGAACCAAUUCAGAAUUUGCUUUGCACUCUCUCUUUGAGGCCAAAGGUGACGUGAUGGCUACCCUGGAAAUGCUGCUGCUUCGGAAGCCAGUCAGGUUAAAAUGUCAUCCUUUAGCAAAUUACCACUACGCCGGUUCUGACAAGUGGACAUCCCUAGAAAGAAAACUGUUUAAUAAAGCAUUGGCCACUUACAGCAAAGACUUUAUUUUUGUACAGAAGAUGGUGAAGUCCAAGACAGUGGCUCAGUGUGUGGAGUACUACUACACUUGGAAGAAGAUAAUGCGACUAGGCCGGAAACACCGCACACGCCUGGCGGAAAUCAUCGACGACUGCAUGACCAGCGAAGAGGAAGAAGAGGCUGAGGAGGAAGAAGAGGACCCAGAAGAAGAUAGGAAAUCCAUAAAAGAAGAGGAGAGUGAAGUGCCCAAGUCGCCAGAGCCACCGCCCGCCCCUGCCCUGGCUCCCACUGAGGGGCCACCCAUGCAGGCUGCUGGCCAACAACCAUCAGGCAGCUUCAUUUGUGAAAUGCCCAACUGUGGGGCUGUGUUCAGCUCCCGACAGGCACUGAACGGUCACGCCCGCAUCCACGGCGGCACCAACCAGGUGGCUAAGACCCGAGGUGCUGUCCCCUCUGGGAAGCAGAAGCCAGGUGGCACCCAGAGUGGGUACUGCUCAGUGAAGAGUUCACCAUCUCACAGUACCACCAGUGGAGAGACAGACCCCACCACCAUCUUCCCCUGCAAGGAGUGUGGCAAGGUCUUCUUCAAGAUCAAAAGCCGGAAUGCACACAUGAAAACCCAUCGGCAACAAGAGGAGCAGCAGAGGCAGAAGGCUCAGAAAGCAGCCUUUGCAGCAGAAAUGGCAGCCACCAUCGAGAGGACUACGGGGCCGGUGGGGGCGCCCGAGCUGCUGCCCCUGGACCAACUGAGUCUGAUGAAGCCCGUCAAAGACGUGGACAUCCUGGAUGAUGAUGUGGUCCAGCAGUUAGGCGCCAUGGACGAGGCCGAGGUGGUAGGCACGGAUCUUCUCUUGGACGACCAAGAUUCGGUUUUGCUUCAGGGUGAUACAGAACUCUAAACCCUCCCGUUCAUCACCUAGAGACACAGAAGCCACGGCCUCCACCUCUGUCGCCCGGAGAACCUGGAAUUCCUGCUCCUUUGAAAACCCUUUUAAACUACCUGUUUAAAAAGUGGUCCUCUUCUUCAGGUUAAGGGAGGGGAAAAAAAAAUCCAGUUCUUUCUCUUUUACCUUCUUUUACAUUGUUUUUGUUGGGGGUUGGGGGGAAUAAAAAAAAAAUUGGCACAACUAUC